rnacentral:rRNA from 1 species
ACGGGAGGCAGCAGUGAGGAAUAUUGGUCAAUGGACGAGGGUCUGAACCAGCCAAGUAGCGUGCAGGAUGACGGCCCUAUGGGUUGUAAACUGCUUUUGUACGGGAAUAAAGUGACCUACGUGUAGGUUUUUGCAUGUACCGUAAGAAUAAGGACCGGCUAAUUCCGUGCCAGCAGCCGCGGUAAUACGGAAGGUCCGGGCGUUAUCCGGAUUUAUUGGGUUUAAAGGGUGCGCAGGCGGCCCGUCAAGUCAGCGGUGAAAUCCGGGGGCCCAACCCCCGAAGUGCCGUUGAUACUGUCGGGCUGGAAUGCGGUCGAGGCGGGCGGAAUGUGGCGUGUAGCGGUGAAAUGCAUAGAUAUGCCACAGAACUCCGAUAGCGAAGGCAGCUCGCCAGGCCUGCAUUGACGCUCGGGCACGAAAGCGUGGGGAUCGAACAGGAUUAGAUACCCUGGUA